rnacentral:rRNA from 1 species
GACGAACGCUGGCGGCGUGCUUAACACAUGCAAGUCGAACGCUGAAGCCCUUUCGGGGGUGGAUGAGUGGCGAACGGGUGAGUAACACGUGGGUAAUCUGCCCUGCACUCUGGGAUAAGCCUUGGAAACGGGGUCUAAUACCGGAUAGGACACUUCGCCGCAUGGUGUGUGUGUGGAAAGUUCCGGCGGUGCAGGUUGAGCCCGCGGCCUAUCAGCUUGUUGGUGGGGUGAUGGCCUACCAAGGCGACGACGGGUAGCCGGCCUGAGAGGGUGACCGGCCACACGGGGGCUGAGACACGGCCCAGACUCCUACGGGAGGCAGCAGUGGGGAAUCUUGCGCAAUGGGCGAAAGCCUGACGCAGCAACGCCGCGUGGGGGAUGACGGCCUUCGGGUUGUAAACCUCUUUCGACCGGGACGAAGGGUGACUGACGGUACCGGUAGAAGAAGCACCGGCUAACUACGUGCCAGCAGCCGCCGUAA